rnacentral:rRNA from 1 species
AUGAUAUAUUAUUUUAUCGUGGAAAUGCCAUGUCAGGUGCACCUAUCAGAAUCGGAACAAACCAAUUACCAAAUCCACCUAUCAUCGCCGUCAUACCAUAAAAAGAUCAUUAAAAAAGCAUGA